UUACUAUCUAAGUUCAAAUUCCACCGAGGUCGAGGAUGGUUUUCAUUCUUCCGGGGUCGAUGAAAUAAGUACUGGUUGUGCACUGGGGUCGAUGCGAUCAAAUAACACUUCCGUCCAAAAUUCUAAGCCUUGUGCUAAUAGUUGAAAGG